GAACGCUAGCGGGAGGCCUAACACAUGCAAGCCGAGCGGUAUUUGUUCUUCGGAACAGAGAGAGCGGCGUACGGGUGCGGAACACGUGUGCAACCUGCCUUUAUCUGGGGGAUAGCCUUUCGAAAGGAAGAUUAAUACCCCAUAAUAUAUUUUACGGCAUCGUGGAAUAUUGAAAACUCCGGUGGAUAGAGAUGGGCACGCGCAAGAUUAGAUAGUUGGUGAGGUAACGGCUCACCAAGUCAGUGAUCUUUAGGGGGCCUGAGAGGGUGAUCCCCCACACUGGUACUGAGACACGGACCAGACUCCUACGGGAGGCAGCAGUGAGGAAUAUUGGACAAUGGGUGCAAGCCUGAUCCAGCCAUCCCGCGUGAAGGACUAAGGCCCUAUGGGUUGUAAACUUCUUUUAUACUGGGAUAAACCUACUUACGUGUAAGUAGCUGAAGGUACAGUAUGAAUAAGCACCGGCUAACUCCGUGCCAGCAGCCGCGGUAAUACGGAGGGUGCAAGCGUUAUCCGGAUUUAUUGGGUUUAAAGGGUCCGUAGGCGGAUCUGUAAGUCAGUGGUGAAAUCUCAUAGCUUAACUAUGAAACUGCCAUUGAUACUGCAGGUCUUGAGUGAGAUUGAGGUAGCUGGAAUAAGUAGUGUAGCGGUGAAAUGCAUAGAUAUUACUUAGAACACCAAUUGCGAAGGCAGGUUACCAAGUCUUAACUGACGCUGAGGGACGAAAGCGUGGGGAGCGAAC
rnacentral:rRNA from 1 species